rnacentral:rRNA from 1 species
UACGGGGGGGGCAAGCGUUGUUCGGAAUUACUGGGCGUAAAGGGCUCGUAGGUGGCCAACUAAGUCAGACGUGAAAUCCCUCGGCUUAACCGGGGAACUGCGUCUGAUACUGGAUGGCUUGAGUUCGGGAGAGGGAUGCGGAAUUCCAGGUGUAGCGGUGAAAUGCGUAGAUAUCUAGAGGAACACCGGUGGCGAAGGCGGCAUCCUGGACCGACACUGACACUGAGGAGCGAAAGCCAGGGGAGCAAACGGG